GCCUCGGUGGUGUAAUGGUAGCCUGCGCUACCGGUAUAGAUGAAGCGCGGGUUCGACUCCCGUCUGAGAUC